AUUAAACGCUGGCGGAAUGCUUUACACAUGCAAGUCGAGCGGCAGCGCGGGGGCAACCCUGGCGGCGAGCGGCGAACGGGUGAGUAACAUAUCGGAACGUACCCCGUCGUGGGGGAUAACACAGCGAAAGCUGUGCUAAUACCGCAUACGACCUGAGGGUGAAAGCGGGGGAUCGCAAGACCUCGCGCGAUGGGAGCGGCCGAUAUCGGAUUGGCUUGUUGGUGAGGUAAAGGCUCACCAAGGCGACGAUCCGUAGCUGGUCUGAGAGGACGACCAGCCACACUGGAACUGAGACACGGUCCAGACUCCUACGGGAGGCAGCAGUGGGGAAUUUUGGACAAUGGGGGCAACCCUGAUCCAGCCAUUCCGCGUGAGUGAAGAAGGCCUUCGGGUUG
rnacentral:rRNA from 1 species